rnacentral:misc_RNA from 1 species
UCCGGCUUAUCACCGGCGGUUUCCUUAGAGUGCCCAACUGAAUGAUGGCAACUAAGGACGAGGGUUGCGCUCGUUGCGCCACUUAAGGCAACACCUCACGACACGAGCUGACGACAGCCAUGCAGCACCUGUGCAAGCUCCCCUUGCGGGGUCGUCCCACUUUCAUGGUUCUACCACUUGCAUGUCAAGGCCAGGUAAGGUUCUUCGCGUUGCAUCGAAUUAAGCCACAUACUCCACCGCUUGUGCGGGGACCCGUCAAUUCCUUUGAGUUUUAGCCUUGCGGCCGUACUCCCCAGGCGGGAUACUUAAUGCGUUAGCUGCGGCACGGAAGUCUUGCGACCCCCACACCUAGCACCCACCGUUUACGGCUAGGACUAC